GACGAACGCUGGCGGCGUGCUUAACACAUGCAAGUCGAACGGAAAGGCCCUGCUUGCAGGGUACUCGAGUGGCGAACGGGUGAGUAACACGUGGGUGAUCUGCCCUGCACUUCGGGAUAAGCUUGGGAAACUGGGUCUAAUACCGGAUAGGAACCAUCGUUAGUGCGGUGGUUGGAAAGUUUUUUCGGUGUAGGAUGAGCUCGCGGCCUAUCAGCUUGUUGGUGGGGUAAUGGCCUACCAAGGCGGCGACGGGUAGCCGGCCUGAGUGGGUGUACGGCCACAUUGGGACUGGGAUACGGCCCAGACUCCUACGGGACGCAGCAGUGGGGAAUAGUGGACAAUCGGCGCAAGCCUGAUGCAGCGAAGCCGCGUGGGGGAGGAAGGGCUUCGGGUUGUAACCGCCGUUCGCUAGGGACGAAGCUUUUUGUGACGGUACCUAGAGAAGAAGCACCGGCUAACUACGUG
rnacentral:rRNA from 1 species